AUUGAACGCUGGCGGCAUGCCUUACACAUGCAAGUCGAACGGUAACGGGCCUUCGGGUGCCGAUGAGUGGCGAACGGGUGAGUAAUACAUCGGAACGUGCCCGAUCGUGGGGGAUAACGAGGCGAAAGCUUUGCUAAUACCGCAUACGAUCUACGGAUGAAAGCAGGGGACCGCAAGGCCUUGCGCGGACGGAGCGGCCGAUGGCAGAUUAGGUAGUUGGUGGGAUAAAAGCUUACCAAGCCGACGAUCUGUAGCUGGUCUGAGAGGAUGAUCAGCCACACUGGGACUGAGACACGGCCCAGACUCCUACGGGAGGCAGCAGUGGGGAAUUUUGGACAAUGGGCGCAAGCCUGAUCCAGCCAUGCCGCGUGCAGGAUGAAGGCCUUCGGGUUGUAAACUGCUUUUGUACGGAACGAAAAGCCUUCUUUUAAUACAGGAGGGUCAUGACGGUACCGUAAGAAUAAGCACCGGCUAACUACGUG
rnacentral:rRNA from 1 species